CCUUCCAUGGACGGGCUGAUGAAGUGAAGCAGCUUUCUGAGACGUGGGAAUUCCAGUUAUCGGACAUCAGACAACUCAAACAAGGGGAGUUCUUCAUGCCGAGGAUGGUUGAUACCCAUAUUCAUGCACCACAGUACAGCUAUGCAGGGACUGCUCUUGAUCUGCCUCUCCUGCAGUGGCUAAACAAGUACACCUUCCCAGUUGAAAAGCAGCACAGAAACACCAAGUUUGCAGAAGACAGCUACACUAAAGUUGUGAUAUACUGAUGAGACACAUGAGAAAGGCUUCUUAUAAGGGUACGAACAGCGAAAGAAAUCUCUGGAUCCUAGGAAGGGUCACAGAUGAGCUGAAGUCUAUCCUGGCAAGGACCGGGCGCAGGGCAGGACUCAACCUGAAGAGGACACCAGUUCCUCACAGGACACACACAGACACAAUCAUACCCGGGCCUGUUUUCCCGAAAGCCAAGUGACUGGCCAGUAUUGUCUAUGAAAACAGGUCCCCACAAUCAAUGGCCUGUUAAAUUGUUAAAACUGUGAACGACCAAUGUAAGCUAUUGUCUAGACAUGUGUGAUUGUAAGUGAAAUGUUUAGCAAGCAAACUUUUAAAGAAAAACUAGAGCCUGUAAUAACAUUUUUAUUUUUUAAACAAAUCAGCACGUUUAAGUAUGUCUAUGGAAGAAACCAGAGCCAGAGGAUCCUCAGGCUAAAAAAAAAAACAUGCAGACAUUCAUCUCAUACAUGAGACUAAGGAAAUAUAUCUGCAUUAAAUACCAAUUUCAUAUAUCAGGGGAGAGAAAGAAUAGUAAAAAUCACUGCCGGUAGUUGCAAGUAACAGACAUUUCCCCUGACAGUUGCUUUCUUUUUUUAUGAAUUGAGCAGUAAGACAUGUAUUUUUUUAUUCAAGGCACCUUACC